ensembl:lncRNA
AUGCGUGCAGCUUGCACACAGCCAAGGAAAAGCUCAACGUUGUCGGAAACGCUUAGUCACACUUCUCACCUGUCUUCUUGCUCAGGUGAAAAAGAGCUCAAAGUAGCCAAUCAGAAUCCUGAAACAGAGCUAAACAUUAUUAAAGAACUACUAAACGAGUUCAGAGGGCUUCACGAGCUGAGGUUAAGAUGCUUGGAGGAGGACACCACUAGAAGGGGAGAACUCCCACAGAAGAAAGUGGACUUCCUGCAGUCUUACGUGAAUGACCUCACAGACCACAUCCAGGUGCUUGUUCAGACCAUUGAGGAUUUGCAAAGGGGAGCUGGACAGAACCAUGAUCGUGUUUUGGCUGUGUCUGGGGUUGGGUUGAAGCCUUUGUUGCUGGAUGAGGUCACUGGACCUGUGGCUCACAUCCCUCGCAGCAGUGGUUCCGUGGACCAGAUGACGUCUGAGACGGAGGAUGUGAAAAUCCAGCUGCAAACCAAUGACACGAUCGUCUCGGAUCUGGAGAGGGAGCUCGCAGAGAAUAUACAACAAAAGCAAAAGACUGCGACGCAGGUGCUGGAAAGCGGCGAGAGGCUGGUGCACCUGCAGAGCGAGCUGUCUUGUCUGCGGCGGAUCCACGAAGACAACAUGAAGGAGAUUGCUGAGAAAGACAUCUGCAUCACCAAACUGCAAGCUAACAUUCAGCUCCUGCAACAGGAGGGGGCUGACACGCGUGCUCAGUUGGAGGCCAGCAGGAAGCAGGUGGAACGUCAGAGGAGGGAGUUAUCAGAGCUUCACCAGAAGGAGGAGACACUUUUGUGUGAGACCAAGGCCAAAAUGGUGCAUUUGAAAGACAAGCUCCGUGACGGUUUCAAGAGAAGGGCGGAGGAGAAAGAGGCGAGGAUUAAGCAACUAACUGACGAGCUGAAUGGAACGAGGCAAAAGUUACAAAUAAGUGAGGGUAUGUUAAGUGAUAUCACGGCUGCCCUGGAUCGGACCACCACCAACCUGAAUGCAGACAGACAGCAGAUCUUAGGCCAGCUGCAUCACACGAGCAAAGAGGUUGAACGUCUACAGCUGGAAUUAGCUCUCGAGCGUCGCACCGGUGAAAAGAAGAUACAGAAGAGGGAGGUUAAGAUGUGUACACUGAUGAAGGAGCUCACAGAAAGUAAGGGACAACACUCAGAGUGUCAAAAAGAGGUUCGAAGUAGAGAUGAGUUAAUUCUGCAGCUCAGAGCCGAAAUGAAGACAGCUGAACAGAAGCAUCGAGGAACACAGAAGCAGGUGACAGCUCUGGAGAAAGAGGUAAGACACUUAAACUGCACGAUCAGAGCGCACAAGGAAGAGGCCUGUCAGUUAAGCGAAAAGGUCAGCGAUAUCGAGCACCUUAAAGAGCAGAAGGCGAAAGAACAACAGCAGCUACAAGAGCGGCUCCGUAUUAAGGAGCAACAGGCUGAUGCAGUUGAAAAGAAGCUGAAGAAGGAGAAGGAGGAGGUGGAACUUCUCAAUCAGCAGCUGAAAGAAUCCAAGGAUGAGCUCAAAGAGGCCAAUUUGCACAACCAGGAGCAGAAAGAAACGGCUGCGAUUUUUAAGCAGAAAUACGCCGCAGCAAUAGAGAAGGCGCUCAGGGUGCAAGAGCAUGUGGAACGUCUGGAGGAGGAACUACGAUAUUCACAGGAACAGCUAAGAGAGUCGCAGUUAGCAGCUUCUUCGCUGAAGGAAGAGCUAGCUGAGCUGGAGUGCCGGUAUCAGGAAAAGGUUGGCCAGUGGGAGAGUUCACAGGAGGCUCUUGACCAACUAACAGAUGAACUUCAGGCCAGUCACAACCUGCUAAGAGAGAGCGAACAAAAAGUGGAGCACUUCAAAAACCUGAUGAGAUCUCUUCAGGAGCAGAUGGACACACUCAAUCAGCAGAAGCUUGCUGUGGAGUGUGACCUGCAGCUCUAUCGUCGGAGCCAUUCUCAUUCUGAUGAGGACUAUUUGAAUCUAGGAAGACUCAGACAGCAGCUGCAGAAGCGCUGUGCAGCACAGGUUGAACACCUUGCGGUGUGUGAAAACACUAUUCUUCAGAUGAAGUCAGAGCUGGAGAGACAAGUCCAGGAAAAGGUGGGUCUGAAACAAAGUCUCGCUGCUUCCCAGCAAACUCACCGGAGCAAUCAAAAACAGCUGGAACAGGAAGUGAUUCGUACAAAACAGGAAGUGGCAUCCUUAGAGCUUGAACUGGCGAACACCCAAAAGGUGCAGGUGGCACUCCUCAGGCAGUCAGAUGAGGCCAGACAAGAGUCUGCAAGAAAGAGCCGAGAGGUGGAUGUGGAGAGAAGAAAGGCCCAGAUGCUUCAGGAGGCGUUACACAAGGAGCAGGAGAAGCUGCAGAGUGCUAUCAGAGAGAAUGAGACCCUGAGCACUGUCAUCGGAAAGCUGAGGAAAGAGCUGGAGGAGCUGCGCAGCAGUCACCGAGUGACAGUGGAGGAGUUGGCAGCCCGUGCAGAGGAGGUGAGGCGGAUGGAGGGGUGUCUGAAUGAAGGCAAGCUAGCAGAGGAGAAAAUAAGGUCAAUGGCUGCGGGGCUGAAGAAGGAGCUGACAGAGGCUGUCCAUCAGAAACUCACAGCAGAGAGAGAGAAACAGGAUGCACUGGACCAGGUGAUCACGCUCCGGUCAGAGCUGGAGGGGACGCGGUCCGACAAUGCAAAGCUUCUGCACGAGAGCCAGCUGGUCAUGACUAAUGUCAACCUUUGGAUCACUGAGCAAAAGGCUUCCAGUGAGAGCGUUAUUGCCCAGAUUAAAGCCCAAAACAAAGCUCUGCUCAUCAUCACUAAAGAGAAAGAAUGUCUUCAGGAGGCUAAUGACACACUGAAGGCGGAGGUAAAGAGACUGAAAGAAGCGGUGGAUGAGAAGGAGAAAGACAUGGAACUCUUCAAGGCCCGUCUCCGGGACUGGGGAGUACAGCAAGAAAGGAAAACCAUGGAAAAGAAGGGGUGCGUUGCUCUAAACCUCAGCAAAAUCGAGGACAUGCAGACCAGACUGCAAAGCAACCUGGAGGCCAUCGGAAUGCUAAAUCAACAAUUAGGCAAUCUCAGUCAGGAGAAUAAGCAGUUGCGUAGGCAGCUGGAAGAAGAGAGGUCCAUGCAUAGACAAGUGGAGAGGAGUGGGCCCCUUCCUCCUCCCUCUACAACCGCCAUCCACCUCCCACUCUCUCUCAGUGUCAGCCCUCCUAUCUGUGCCUCCCUUCCCUCAUCCCAGGGCCUGCCUCGUCUUCUGAGCAUAGUCCCAGUGACAGGGGACACUAAUGGGACUCAAACCAAGCCGAGUACAGUCGGAGUAGAGAGACCAGCUGAUGGUCUGACAGAAAUAGAAGGGGCGUCAAGAGUCACCACGGCAGACAGAUCGCUUCAGGCUGUGGCACACACCACCUGAACUGCCUGCGCAUGUAUGCUUGUGUGUAUGUGUGUGUGUAUGUGUGUGUGAGCAUGCAUGAUUUUGUUGUACAGCCAUUAAAGCAUACUAUCAAUCAAAAAACAUCAUUAAAGUUUGUAUUUUAAAUAAAUGAUUUUAUUAAAACAUAAUUACUGAAGCACUGGUGUAAUAUAUAUUAUUUCCAGUAAAGGACAGGAGGGUGUGCGCUCGCCACACAUCAUGGUCCAGCUAAUUCUGGGAGAUUACAUUUGGGUCAUUUUGAAACAGCUCUCUUGUGGUAGUUUUGUAGCAGAAUAAUUUAUCAAAACAUUUUAUGCUGUCCCCCAAUUGAUUGUGACCAGCACUAAAAGAUGCAAUACUUAGGCAUGCAGUAUGCAUGAAAUUAUGCUAAUGCAUAACACUAGCGUUCAUAUGCAUCUGCAUAUUGAUAUAUACAGUAUCUUUUACCUGAUUACAUUAAAUCUAAUAAGUGUAGACAAACACCGAGUGAUUCAAAAUAGACAUAAAAUACAGAGCACCUGCCUUUUCCUUAUUGCGCUUUUUAAUAUAAUAAAGUAUAUAUGUGAUAUAUAGUAUA